AGCUUUGUGCAGUGGCAGUAUCAUAGCCAAUGAGGUCUAACCGAGGCACGAUUAUUGCUAAUUGAAAAAUGGUAUAUGCUUCCACCUGCAAGGAAUGUAGUUUUUAAAAAUAAAUUUCAUGACUAUCUUUUGUCUUUUUA